UGGGGUAUUUUGCACAAUGGGGGAAACCCUGAUGCAGCGACGCCGCGUGAGCGAAGAAGGUUUUCGAAUCGUAAAGCUCUGUCUUAUGAGAAGAUAAUGACGGUAUCAUAGGAGGAAGCCCCGGCUAAAUACGUGCCAGCAGCCGCGGUAAUACGUAGGUGGCAAGCGUUGUUCGGAAUUAUUGGGCGUAAAGCGCGCGCAGGUGGUUUAGAAAGUCUGAUGUGAAAGCCCACGGCUCAACCGUGGAGGGUCAUUGGAAACUAAUAAACUUGCGUGCGGAGGAGAAGAGUGGAAUUCCUGGUGUGGCGGUGAAAGGCGUAGAGAUUGGGAGGAAAACCGGUGGCGAAAGCGGCUUUUUGGCCAGCAACUGACACUGAGGCGCGAAAGCGUGGGGAGCAAACAGG
rnacentral:rRNA from 1 species